ensembl:snRNA U6 U6 spliceosomal RNA
CUCCUGCUAUGCUAAGACAUAGACUAAAAUUGGAACGAUGCAGCAUGACCCUUGCUCAAGGAUGACAUGCAAGUUUGCCAGGCUUGCUGUAUUUGC